AUUGAACGCUGGCGGCAUGCCUUACACAUGCAAGUCGAACGGCAGCGCGGACUUCGGUCUGGCGGCGAGUGGCGAACGGGUGAGUAAUACAUCGGAACGUACCCUGUUGUGGGGGAUAACUAGUCGAAAGAUUAGCUAAUACCGCAUACGACCUGAGGGUGAAAGUGGGGGACCGGAAACGGCCUCAUGCAGCAGGAGCGGCCGAUGUCUGAUUAGCUAGUUGGUGGGGUAAAGGCCCACCGAGGCGACGAUCAGUAGCUGGUCUGAGAGGACGAUCAGCCACACUGGGACUGAGACACGGCCCAGACUCCUACGGGAGGCAGCAGUGGGGAAUUUUGGACAAUGGGGGCAACCCUGAUCCAGCAAUGCCGCGUGUGUGAAGAAGGCCUUCGGGUUGUAAAGCACUUUUGUCCGGAAAGAAAUCGCGCUGGUUAAUACCUGGCGUGGAUGACGGUACCGGAAGAAUAAGCACCGGCUAACUACGUG
rnacentral:rRNA from 1 species